rnacentral:rRNA from 1 species
UAGGUUAACGAGGCGAACCGGGGGAACUGAAACAUCUAAGUACCCCGAGGAAAAGAAAUCAACCGAGAUUCCCCCAGUAGCGGCGAGCGAACGGGGAGCAGCCCAGAGUCUGAAUCAGCUUGUGUGUUAGUGGAACGGUCUGGAAAGUCCGACGGUACAGGGUGAUAGUCCCGUACACCAAAAUGCACAGGUUGUGAACUCGAAGAGUAGGGCGGGACACGUGGUAUCCUGUCUGAAUAUGGGGGGACCAUCCUCCAAGGCUAAAUACUCCUGACUGACCGAUAGUGAACCAGUACCGUGAGGGAAAGGCGAAAAGAACCCCGGCGAGGGGAGUGAAAAAGAACCUGAAACCGUGUACGUACAAGCAGUGGGAGCACCUUCGGGUGUGACUGCGUACCUUUUGUAUAAUGGGUCAGCGACUUAUAUUCUGUAGCAAGGUUAACCGUAUAGGGGAGCCGCAGGGAAACCGAGUCUUAACUGGGCGUUAAGUUGCAGGGUAUAGACCCGAAACCCGGUGAUCUAGCCAUGGGCAGGUUGAAGGUUGGGUAACACUAACUGGAGGACCGAACCGACUAAUGUUGAAAAAUUAGCGGAUGACUUGUGGCUGGGGGUGAAAGGCCAAUCAAACCGGGAGAUAGCUGGUUCUCCCCGAAAGCUAUUUAGGUAGCGCCUCGU